rnacentral:rRNA from 1 species
AGAGUUUGAUCAUGGCUCAGAUUGAACGCUGGCGGAAUGCUUUACACAUGCAAGUCGACGGCAGCACGGGGGCAACCCUGGUGGCGAGUGGCGAACGGGUGAGUAAUACAUCGGAAGUGCCCAGUCGUGGGGGAUAACGCAGCGAAAGUUGCGCUAAUACCGCAUACGAUCUCAGAUGAAAGCGGGGGACCGUAAGGCCUCGCGCGAUUGGAGCGGCCGAUGUCAGAUUAGGUAUUGGUGGGGUAAAGGCCCACCAAGCCUGCGAUCUGUAGCUGGUCUGAGAGGACGACCAGCACACUGGGACUGAGACACGGCCCAGACUCCUACGGGAGGCAGCAGUGGGGAAUUUUGGCAAUGGGCGAAAGCCUGAUCCAGCCAUGCCGCGUGCGGGAAGAAGGCCUUCGGGUUGUAACCGCUUUUGUCAGGGAAGAAACGCUCUGGGCUAAUACCCUGGGGUAAUGACGGUACCUAAGAAUAAGCACCGGCUAACUACGUGCCAGCAGCCGCGGUAA